AUGCACCACACAAGGCUGCGUGCCCAUCUCUCACGCGCGCAGAAUCGGUGCAAGCAGAAGGCUGACAAGCACCGCUUUGAGCGUUCCUUUCAAGUGGGAGAACAGGUUCUGCUCAAGCUACAACCCUACACUCAAUCAACUGUCGCCAACCGCCCCUGCCCCAAGUUGGCAUACAAGUUCUUUGGGCCAUUCACCGUCGAGCAGCGCAUCGGCACCAUGGCGUACAAGUUGGCACUUCCAGAGGACAGCUGCAUUCACCCGGUUUUUCAUGUAUCCCAGCUAAAGCCGUUGACACCAGAUUACUCUCCAGUCUUCUCCGAGCUACCACGCACUCCAGACCUCACUGCUGCUCCAUUGCAGCCAGUUACCAUCCUCGCCCGUCGCCUCGUCAAGAAAGGUAACUCCUCGGUGCUGCAGGUUCAAGUCCAAUGGUCCUCAUUGUCGCCAGACUCUGCAACCUGGGAAGAUUACUCCGUGCUGCGUCACCGUUACCCAACGGCUCCUUGUUGGGAUGAAGACAGCGCUUCCGCUCAAGGAGGGGCGAAUGUCACACCUGAUGUGAGUACAUCAGUGGACUAG
rnacentral:rRNA from 1 species